CUUCACCGAGCCGAGCAGCAGCGGCCGGUCGGCCGGGCGCCCCUGGCCGUAGGUGGCGAUCAGUGCCUGCGCCUC
rnacentral:antisense_RNA from 1 species